AUUGAAAGAUGCACCAGACGUACAUAUCACUGGGUUAUGAGCUGAGAACCGAAUUGUCUUGCAACAAUUGAGUUCAAGUUUCCCUUGAUUUUUUUGGAUGAAGAAAAGUUGAAGAGAACUUGUCCAAAACAGAAUGUGUCCAUCUGAAAUUGUUCAAAAGACCUCCACCACCCCAUGAGUAAGCGGGAAAAUCCUUGCGCACCAUCUUUGCGCACAUCAAAAAUGGCUAACAAAUCCUGAGGCUUUGCCGUUCGUCUCCGGAGUUUAUUCGAAAAUCAAGGGUAAAAUCGUUGAAAUAAUUCUUAAAAAUGCUAUAAUUAGUUGACAACAAUGGACAACAAUAGUUUGGUCAUGAAAUCAACGACUAUUCUGAUGAAUUGCGGGUGUUGGAACGCAAAAACAAAAAUUGACAGGAGAGAAUGGGGAAAAUAUCUGCGCAACAUCUCUGCGCACAUAAGAAAUGGCCGACUAGUCUCGAGGCUGGUGUUCGUCUCCGGAUUUUAUCCGAAAUCAAGGGUAAAAUCAUUAAAAUAAUUCUUAAAAAUGCUAUAAUUAGUUGACAACAAUGGGCAACAAUAGUUUGGUCAUGAAAUCAACGACUAUUCUGAUGAAUUGCGGGUGUUGGAACGCAAAAACAAAAAUUGCCAGGAGAGAAUGGGGAAAAUAUCUGCGCAACAUACCUGCGCACAACAAAAAUGGCCGACUAGUCUGGAGGCUUCGGCGUUCGUCUCCGGAUUUUAUCCGAAAUCAAGGGUAAAAUCAUUAAAAUAAUACUUAAAAAAGCUGUAAUUAGUUUGUAAUAAUGGAGAACAAUAAUUUGAUCAUCAAAUCAACGAUUAUUUCGAUGAAUUGCGGGUUUUAAA